CCUAUUAUUAAGAAUAAAAAAUUGUAAGUAAAUAUUAAUUACGAAAGCAAAAAAUUAUGGCGGUAUUUUAAGCUUUUCAGAGGAAUUUGCUCUUUAAUGGAUAAAACACCUAAACCUUACUUAAAUUAGUACCUUUCAGUUUGUAUACCACUAUUAUAAUAAUAAUUUGUUAUUAUUAUUAAUAUUCUUAAAUUAGAAUAAAAUUAAGUCAAGGUGCAGCAUAAAUUUAUGAAUGAAGUGAAUUACAUUUCUUUAAAGAAAAAUGAAAUUGAAAUAAAACA
rnacentral:rRNA from 1 species